rnacentral:rRNA from 1 species
ACUCAAGAAACGGAUCUAAGUCCAACCUGAAACUCAUUAUUUUAGUUCACCUAAACAACCACUUGAUUUUCAGCGUAAUUCAAAUAAGGUACAGCCUAUUUGAAACAGGAUACAACCUAAAUUAAUGGAUAAGACUGACUAAACACACAACCAAGUGGGCCUAAAAGCAGCCAUCUUUAAAAUAGCGUCAAAGCUUAAUUGUUAUUUUUGUCUAAUAACUUAAUUAUUAUCUUAAUCCUCUACCAAUACUGAGUAAUUCUAUAUUAUUAUAGAAAAUUUUAUGUUAAAACUAGUAACAAGAAGAAGACUCUUCUCUUUAAUGUGAGUGUAAAUCAGAAAGGACAAACCGCUGAUAAUUAACGUCAUUGAAACCAAAGCAGAAACUCAUCAAGAAAAACCUACUUCCGCUAACGUUAACCUAACACAAGAGCAUUUUAAGAAAGAUUAAAAGAAAAAGAAGGAACUCGGCAAAUAUUAACCUCGCCUGUUUACCAAAAACAUCGCCUCUUGACUUUUAUAAGAGGUCCAGCCUGCCCAGUGACCAUGUUCAACGGCCGCGGUAUCCUAACCGUGCGAAGGUAGCGUAAUCACUUGUUCUUUAAAUGUGGACUAGUAUGAAUGGCACCACGAGGGUUAUGCUGUCUCCUUUUUCUAAUCAGUGAAACUAAUCUCCCCGUGAAGAAGCGGGAAUACAUCUAUAAGACGAGAAGACCCUAUGGAGCUUUAAACAACACAGCAAUUACCUACUAAACUAUAAAUUUCCGAAUACCUUAACCUUUUUAAGUAAUCUGACUGCAAGUUUUUGGUUGGGGUGACCACGGAGCAUAACACAACCUCCAUGCUGAAAGAAUUUUUUCUAAGCUAAGAACAACCUGUCUAAGCAUCAAUAUAUUGACAUCCAUUGACCCAAUACAUUUGACCAACGAACCAAGUUACCCUAGGGAUAACAGCGCAAUCCACUUCAAGAGCUCCUAUCGACAAGUGGGUUUACGACCUCGAUGUUGGAUCAGGGUAUCCCAGUGGUGCAGCCGCUACUAAAGGUUCGUUUGUUCAACGAUUAAAACCCUACGUGAUCUGAGU